rnacentral:lncRNA from 1 species
CUUCCCCCCCAACUUAAUCUACAUUGUCCUCAAUGGAGUAGGAAAGCAAAGAAAAUAAAAGGAGAGAGUGCACCUGGGAUAAUUUUGCUUCGAAAGUUGAAGAUAGCUUCAUUGAUUAAUAGGCUCUUGUUCUAAAUUCCUGCAGCUGCAGUAAAGUAAAAAAAAAUAUGAAAUCAUUGGGUUGCCUCCCAACAAGCGCUAAGUUUUACGUCUUCAGCCAGACGUCAAGUUUAUUAUUCAUUAUAAAGUGGAUCACACAGGUAGAUGGUGUCGAUUUGUUCUUUAUGUGCAAUUUCAUCUACAUAUGGCUUCAGACGUUGGCCGUUUACCUUAAAUAUAUUGCCAUUCCGGGGGUCAUGAAUUUCAAUUGCUCCAUGUGGGAAUAUUUGUGUCACAAUGAAAGGUCCAUCCCAUC